rnacentral:rRNA from 1 species
AUUGAACGCUGGCGGCAUGCUUUACACAUGCAAGUCGAACGGUAACAGGCCUUCGGGUGCUGACGAGUGGCGAACGGGUGAGUAAUGCAUCGGAACGUACCCAGAGGUGGGGGAUAACGCAGCGAAAGCUGUGCUAAUACUGCAUGUGAUCUGAGGAUGAAAGCGGGGGACCGAGCAGCAAUGUUUGGCCUCGCGCCUUUGGAGCGGCCGAUGUCGGAUUAGCUAGUUGGUGGGGUAAAGGCCUACCAAGGCGACGAUCCGUAGCUGGUCUGAGAGGACGACCAGCCACACGGGGACUGAGACACGGCCCAGACUCCUACGGGAGGCAGCAUGGGGGAAUUUUGGACAAUGGGCGCAAGCCUGAUCCAGCAAUGCCGCGUGCGGGAAGAAGGCCUUCGGGUUGUAAACCGCUUUUGGCAGGAACGAAACGGUGUCCGCUAAUACCGGGCGCUAAUGACGGUACCUGCAGAAUAAGCACCGGCUAACUACGUG